GACGAACGCUGGCGGCGUGCUUAACACAUGCAAGUCGAACGGAAAGGCCUCUUUCGGGGGGUACUCGAGUGGCGAACGGGUGAGUAACACGUGAGUAACCUGCCCUUGACUUUGGGAUAACUUCAGGCAACUGGGGCUAAUACCGGAUAGGAGCUCCUGCCGCAUGGUGGGGGCUGGAAAGUUUCGGCGGUUGGGGGUGGACUCGCGGCUUAUCAGCUUGUUGGUGGGGUAGUGGCUUACCAAGGCUUUGACGGGUAGCCGGCCUGAGAGGGUGACCGGCCACAUUGGGACUGAGAUACGGCCCAGACUCCUACGGGAGGCAGCAGUGGGGAAGAUUGCACAAUGGGUGGAAGCCUGAUGCAGCAACGCCGUGUGCGGGAUGACGGCCUUCGGGUUGUAAACCGCUUUCGCUCAUGACGAAGCUUUGUGUGACGGUAGUGGGUAAAGAAGCACCGGCUAACUACGUG
rnacentral:rRNA from 1 species